rnacentral:rRNA from 1 species
UACGAAGGGGGCUAGCGUUGCUCGGAAUUACUGGGCGUAAAGCGCACGUAGGCGGUCUUUUAAGUCGGGGGUGAAAUCCUGGAGCUCAACUCCAGAACUGCCUUCGAUACUGGAAGACUUGAGUCCGGGAGAGGUGAGUGGAACUGCGAGUGUAGAGGUGAAAUUCGUAGAUAUUCGCAAGAACACCAGUGGCGAAGGCGGCUCACUGGCCCGGUACUGACGCUGAGGCGCGAAAGCGUGGGGAGCAAACAGGG